AGUGAACGCUGGCGGUAGGCCUAACACAUGCAAGUCGAACGGCAGCACAGUAAGAGCUUGCUCUUACGGGUGGCGAGUGGCGGACGGGUGAGGAAUACAUCGGAAUCUACUUUUUCGUGGGGGAUAACGUAGGGAAACUUACGCUAAUACCGCAUACGACCUACGGGUGAAAGCAGGGGAUCUUCGGACCUUGCGCGAUUGAAUGAGCCGAUGUCGGAUUAGCUAGUUGGCGGGGUAAAGGCCCACCAAGGCGACGAUCCGUAGCUGGUCUGAGAGGAUGAUCAGCCACAAUGGAACUGAGACACGGUCCAGACUCCUACGGGAGGAAGCAGUGGGGAAUAUUGGACAAAGGGAGCAAUCCUGAUCCAGCCAUACCGCGUGGGUGAAGAAGGCCUUCGGGUUGUAAAGCCCUUUUGUUGGGAAAGAAAAGCAGCAGGUUAAUACCCCGCUGUUCUGACGGUACCCAAAGAAUAAGCACCGGCUAACUUCGUG
rnacentral:rRNA from 1 species